AUGUUUGUACUGGUAAUAGCAUAAAGCCGAAGAAAGAGAUGUCUGUGGUAAGAGGAAUUCUACUGCUGCCUUCUGCCCGGAUCUGCUUGAUGUGUUAAGGAAAGAGAGAGAACAUGUGUACUUGGCUAUCGCGGUGUCAAAGUUGCCUUCCGUCCUUGGUGCGGAGUGCAGGACAGCAUGGUAUUAGGAGAACAGAGUGUCUUUCAUGGAGACGGAGGCAAAGAGAACACCACGCUACCUUCCCAGCACAUCUGAGUCUACCUGCUUCUGCAGCAUCAAGAGUCCACAGCAGGAAAGAUCUUGCAUGGCGACACUGUUCCCAGGCACAUUUCAAGGUCCACUAAAUUUGCCUGGGAAAUGCACUGAAACUUCAGUCAGCUCUUCCAGUGUGUAGAAGGCUUUCCUUGCAGAAGAAGAAGGACGAGCCUUCCCCCUCCCCACCAACUCCCACUCACAGAGCAAAAGAUGAAAGACAGGAAUGCGCCUUAUGCAAAACUAACACCCAGAUGUGCCUUCAGUGAAGUAAGUGGACUUGCAGAUAUAAACACACACACACACACACACACACACAUGAAUCACUUUAUGGUUUCUGACCUAACCAAUUGAAGUGUUACUCAAAUUUAAUUAUUUUGACGAUGGAUGUAUUUUUGUUCGUCUAAUUGUAGCUUACAUUUUAUGCAACAAAUACAGGCAUUUUGCUUCUUGAGUAAA